rnacentral:rRNA from 1 species
AAAGCUCAGUAACACGUGUGUCAACCUACCCUAUGGACGAGAAUAAUCUCGGGAAACUGAGCAUAAUUCUUGAUAGAUCAUAAUGCCUGGAAUGGUUAAUGGUUAAAAUGAUUCGUACGCCAUAGGAUGGGACUGCGGCCUAUCAGCUUGUUGGUGAGGUAAUGGCCCACCAAGGCGAUUACAGGUACGGGCUCUGAGAGGAGAAGCCCGGAGAUGGGUACUGAGACACGGACCCAGGCCCUAUGGGGCGCAGCAGGCGAGAAAACUUUGCAAUGUGCGAAAGCACGACAAGGUUAAUCCGAGUGAUUUCUGCUAAAGAAAUCUUUUGCCAGUCGUAAAACCACUGGUGAAUAAGGGGUGGGCAAGUUCUGGUGUCAGCCGCCGCGGUAAAACCAGCACCUCAAGUGGUCAGGAUGAUUAUUGGGCCUAAAGCAUCCGUAGCCGGCUUUGUAAGUUUUCGGUUAAAUCCAUGUGCUCAACGCAUGGGCUGCCGAAAAUACUGCAUAGCUAGGGAGUGGAAGAGGUAGACGGUACUCAGUAGGUAGGGGUAAAAUCCUUUGAUCUAUUGAUGACCACCUGUGGCGAAGGCGGUCUACCAGAACACGUUCGACGGUGAGGGAUGAAAGCUGGGGGAGCAAACCGGAUUAGAUACCCGGGUAGUCCCAGCUGUAAACGAUGCAGACUCGAUGAUGCAUUGGCAUAAUAGCCAUUGCAGUGUCGCAGGGAAGCCGUUAAGUCUGCCGCCUGGGAAGUACGUACGCAAGUAUAACUUAAAGGUAUUGGCGGGGGAGCAC